UACGUAGGGUGCAAGCGUUGUCCGGAAUUAUUGGGCGUAAAGAGCUCGUAGGCGGUUUGUCGCGUCUGCUGUGAAAACCCAGGGCUUAACCCUGGGCCUGCAGUGGGUACGGGCAAACUAGAGUGCGGUAGGGGGGAUCGGAAUUCCUGGUGUAGCGGUGGAAUGCGCAGAUAUCAGGAGGAACACCGGUGGCGAAGGCGGGUCUCUGGGCCGUUACUGACGCUGAGGAGCGAAAGCAUGGGGAGCGAACAGG
rnacentral:rRNA from 1 species